rnacentral:rRNA from 1 species
UACGUAGGGGCUAGCGUUGUCCGGAUUCAUUGGGCGUAAAGAGCGUGUAGGCGGCUCGAGGUCAGUCGUUGAAUGAACUCGAGGCUCAACCUCGAGACGCCGAUGGAAACCAUCUGACUAGAGUCCGGAAGAGGAGAGUGGAAUUCCUGGUGUAGCGGUGAAAUGCGCAGAUAUCAGGAAGAACACCCGUGGCGAAGGCGGCUCUCUGGGACGGUACUGACGCUGAGACGCGAAAGCGUGGGGAGCGAACAGG